rnacentral:rRNA from 1 species
UACGUAGGGGGCAAGCGUUGUCCGGAUUUAUUGGGCGUAAAGAGCGUGUAGGCGGCCAAGCAGGUCCGCUGUGAAAACUCGAGGCUCAACCUCGAGACGUCGGUGGAAACCGUUUGGCUAGAGUCCGGAAGAGGAGAGUGGAAUUCCCGGUGUAGCGGUGAAAUGCGCAGAUAUCAGGAAGAACACCCGUGGCUAAGGCGGCUCUCUAGUACGGUACUGACGCUGAGACGCGAAAGCGUGGGGAGCGAACAGG